GACAGAGGAUGCAAGCGUUAUCCGGAAUGAUUGGGCGUAAAGCGUCUGUAGGUGGCUUUUUAAGUCCGCCGUCAAAUCCCAGGGCUCAACUCUGGACAGGCGGUGGAAACUACCAAGCUGGAGUACGGUAGGGGCAGAGGGAAUUUCCGGUGGAGCGGUGAAAUGCGCAGAUAUCAGGAGGAACACCGAUGGCGAAGGCAGAUCUCUGGGCCGUAACUGACGCUGAGGAGCGAAAGCGUGGGGAGCGAACAGG
rnacentral:rRNA from 1 species